GAGUUUGAUCAUGGCUCAGAAUGAACGUUGGCGGCGUGGAUUAGGCAUGCAAGUCGUACGCACAGCUUCGGCUGUGAGUGGCGCAAGGGUGAGUAAUGCGAAGGUAACCAACCCUGGAGUUGGGCAUAACCGCGGGAAACUGCGGGUAAUUCCCAGCGAUGUCUCGAGAUGGCAUCAUCUUGCGACCAAAGGUGUGAUUCCGCUCUAGGACGGGCCUUCGUGGUAUUAGGUAGUUGGUGAGGUAACGGCUCACCAAGCCGACGAUGCCUACCGGGUGUGAGAGCAUGACCCGGCACACUGGAACUGAGACACUGUCCAGACACCUACGGGUGGCUGCAGUCGAGAAUCUUCGGCAAUGGGCGAAAGCCUGACCGAGCGACGCCGCGUGAGGGAAGAAGGCCUUCGGGUUGUAAACCUCUUUCGUAGAGGAGGAAGGGGCCGUGCAGAGCGGUCUUUGACCUAUUCUAGGAAGAAGCUUGGGCUAAGUUCGUG
rnacentral:rRNA from 1 species